ensembl:lncRNA
AGAACAUUGCCCAAAGCAUCAUUGUGCCUGUGCUGGCUUGCAUUCUCCCCAUUGUGAAUCCUGCUGUCAGGUGUUCCCCUAGGUAAGAGAUGCACAUGGACCUGGUCAUCCACUUGAUGUUUCCCAGUGCUCUGUGGUCCAGUUUUGAUGCUCACUGUCAUGGUCCGGUUCCUGGACUCACUUUGACUUAAGCUUGAAGCUUAAGCUUCUCUCUUGGACUCAGGAUACCUUACCCCCAUCUUGGAUAUCACUCUGUGCCCUCCUCCCACCUCACACCAUCAGGAACCUCCAAAUGUCAG